rnacentral:lncRNA from 1 species
GGCAGUUCCCCUUUUGCCUUCGCUUAGGGUACGUCUGCCCCCAAUUCUAAAACUAGAAUUGAGAUCUUUAUUAUCAAUUUACAAAGUUAUUACAAGAGAAGAAAUGAUCACCACCAACCAACCCCUAUUGUUGUUGCAGAUCCUAUUCACUUCUCUCCCCUUGAUUUUAGUUGAACCAAGUCCUUCAAGCGUUCCGAACAAACCUCCGGUUGCAGCUAC